GUCCACGCCGUAAACGAUGAGGACUAGCUGUUGGUCAUAUAAAAAUGAUUAGUAGCGAAGCAAACGCGAUAAGUUCUCCGCCUGGGGAGUACGGCCGCAAGGCUAAAACUCAAAGGAAUUGACGGGGGCCCGCACAAGCGGUGGAGCAUGUGGUUUAAUUCGAUGCAACGCGAAAACCUUACCUACCCUUGACAUCCUUGGAAUCUUUUAGAGAUAAGAGAGUGCUUCGGAACCAAGAGACAGGUGCUGCAUGGCUGUCGU
rnacentral:rRNA from 1 species